rnacentral:rRNA from 1 species
AUUGAACGCUGGCGGCAGGCCUAACACAUGCAAGUCGAACGAGUGGCGGACGGGUGAGUAAUGUCUGGGAACCUGCCCGAUGGAGGGGGAUAACUACUGGAAACGGUAGCUAAUACCGCAUACCAUCGGAUGUCACCAGAUGGGAUUAGCUAGUAGGUGGGGUAACGGCUCACCUAGGCAACGAUCCCUAGCUGGGCUGAGAGGAUGACCAGCCACACUGGAAUUGAGACACGGUCCAGACUCCAACGGGAGGCAGCAUUGGGGAUUAUGGCACAAUGGGCGAAAGCCGGAUGCAGCCAUGCGGCGUGUAGGAAGAAGGCCUUCGGGUUGUAAAGUACUUUCAGCGAGGAGGCGUUACUCGCAGAGGAAGCAUCGGCUAACUCCGUGCCAGCAGCCGCGGUAAUAC